CAGAGGUGACUAAGGUUUACACAGCAGAAAGCUGCAGCGCCUAGAGUCAACGCAGGUCGUUGUUAGCCCUGGACUAUUUCUGCCACUACCAAGGUUUUCAACAAAGAACAGAAGAAGACGUAUAAGACUUAAAGCUUAGUAAACCUUUGGGUUCCGUGCAUUUGGCCAUCAUUCCAGUCGUCAGCAUUGUGCAGGACAGGUACUCGAGGUCUGUUUUUGUAAACCAGGAACCCGAGGCACAGAGCAAAGUCUUGCUGUGUCGCACAGGCUGGAGUGCAGCGAUGUGAUCUGGGCCCACUGCAACCUCCAUCUGCCGGGUUCAAGCAACUCUACUGUCUCAGCCUCCUGAGUAGCUGGGACUACAGGCACGUGCCACCAUGCCUGGCUAAUUUUUGUAUUUUGAGUAGAGAUGGGGUUCCACCAUGUAGGCCAGGCUGGUCUUGAACUCGUGACCUCGUGAUCCACCCGCCUCGGCCUCCCAAAGUGCUGGGAUUACAGGUGUCAGCCACUGCACCCAGCCAGAAGAAAACAACUUUUAACCACACGACUUUGCCUAUCAGGGUCUACCAGACAAACCUUUUUGAAGAUACAUUUCCACAAUCUACAUAUUUCCAAAGGUAUCUGUUUUUGUUAGUUGAUUUUUAAAUUUUGAUUGCAGAUAUAUUUCUUGCAUGACAUGUCUAUGUGAAAAUCUAAUUUAUUAAAAAUGUGUAUCAUGCUGCC